GGGGGUAUAGCUCAGUUGGGAGAGCACCUCCCUUGCAUGCAAGAGGUCAUCGGUUCGAUCCCGUUUACCUCCACCA
rnacentral:tRNA from 1 species